GCGUUGGAGGAGUACGUCUUGCUGCUCCUGGUCACAGAGGAGGCUUUGCUGGCCCUGCCUCCUUCACUGCUACCCUGGGAGGACUUCCCCCCCAGGUCCCCCGCUGAGCCUAUAGACGAGAUUUCAGCGCCAGCAGCGACGGGAUCCCCUUACAGUCGGAGACCCCCGUGGAGUCGGAGAUGCAGUCCUUCCAGAGGUUGGAGAAGUAGUUUGAGGUGGUCAGGACGAUGCUGCCCACCUCGGACCAGGUCCAGAUCUCCGUGGGCAUGGUGGAGCACACCAGGAUCCACCCGAACACACACACCACGAAGCAGCCCAUCUCCAUGUACAUCACCACCGUCCGGUUCAUGGCAGCGGGCUCCUCUGUGCGCGCCGACAGAGGGAAUGAGACAAAGCAAGGGCCUGGAGACAGUGCUUCUGUCUCCUCCACCGACUGAACCCACUGUACACACACAUAGAGGUUUAGGAUUACAGCUACGCCUGCCCGUCCACUCACACCAAACGCACGCACGCAUGCACGCACACACACACGCACACGCACACGCACACACACACACACCUGACAACAAGUAGCACCCAAGUUGCACCCACAUCAAGGCCUGUUUACCCUCUCACCCUCCAAAUAGCAAUACACACGAUCUAGAUGGGGGUUCAUACACACGCACUCACACACACUCACACUCAAACACACCCACACACUUUCAGACACAGACAUACACAUAAACGAAAAAUACAUACACACACACACACACACACACACACACACACACACACACACACACACACACACACACACACACACACACACACACACACACACACACACACCCUCUCAGACACACACACACACACACACACACACA